rnacentral:siRNA from 1 species
UGGUGUCUUCUCCACUUCAACCG